UACAGAGGGUGCAAGCGUUGUUCGGAAUUAUUGGGCGUAAAGGGAGUGUAGGCGGUUUGAUAAGUCUUCUGUGAAAUCUACGGGCUUAGCCUGUAACGUGCAGAGGAAACUAUCAGGCUUGAGUGUCGGAGAGGAUAGGGGAAUUCCCGGUGUAGAGGUGAAAUUCGUAGAGAUCGGGAGGAACACCAGUGGCGAAGGCGCCUAUCUGGCUGACAACUGACGCUGAGACUCGAAAGCAUGGGGAGCAAACAGG
rnacentral:rRNA from 1 species